CCUUGCAACAAAAAAAUAUGGCCCUUUGUAGAAGGAAAACUCUGAAAAUUGUAAAUUGGAUGAUAAAUAUCCUGCUUAUACAUCUGAUAAAGUUUCUCAUAAAACAACAUUCCUCAAGUCAAGAUCUAUUCCCUGAUUGUUCAUUACCAGAAUUCGGCAUAUGGGCCAUGAUAUGCUUGAACAUCACCCACUUGCAAAGUAGAUUGGAUACAAAUGGAACGAGGGCCGAGAUCAGUUGAAGAGCCCUGGGUUUAGCCAAUCCCUGAAAACAAAAUUGGAUAAUAUAGAUUGUGUAAAGUCGAUUAUAACUGCAGAUAUGAAAAUCAAAAUGAAGAAAGAUGGGAGAACGAAGGGUGGUGGGGGUAAAAGAACCUACUUGCUUAUGUCGUCAAGGUGAUCAUCAAAAUCUACAAUGUCAUUCCAUUUCUCAGAUGAAAUAUAAUCCAAUAAGAUCACAUUUGCUGAUGGCUCUUUGAGAGAGAAUCGGUUGUUCGCAUCUGACUGAACCAACUUCCAAUUCUUAGAUGCAUCCCUAACAUAAAGCUAAACCAUAAGAAA
rnacentral:lncRNA from 1 species